rnacentral:tRNA from 1 species
UCCCCAGUAGCUUAGAUGGUAAAGCAUCUGCCUGCAAUGCAAGAGAUCCAGGUUCAAUCCUUUGGUUGGGAA